CAUAUCAAUAGAUAAAUAGAAACUCAUAGAAUAGAUGAAAAGAAAUAAAAACAAGGAGUUCCAAUCACAAGUGAUCUUCUCUCCCAAAUGAAACUUGUAACAAAACUAGGUCUAGAAAAAGCUAUGUUCUUCUGCCGUUAAAAACACUAGGCAUUUUGGUAAUUUGGCUUGGCCUUGGUUUUUAAGUCUGCUGAAUCCAAAAUGUCGCAUCUGGUGUCUCGACAUCGAUCG
rnacentral:lncRNA from 1 species